rnacentral:rRNA from 1 species
CCCUUAGAUGUUCUGGGCCGCACGCGCGCUACACUGACGAAGUCAGCGAGCAUGUCCUACGCCGACAGGUGCGGGGAAUCUUGUCAAACUUCGUCGUGAUGGGGAUUGAUUAUUGAAAUUCUUGAUCAUCAACGAGGAAUUCCUAGUAAGCGCAAGUCAGCAGCUUGCGUUGAUUACGUCCCUGCCCUUUGUACACACCGCCCGUCGCUACUACCGUUUGAAUGGUUUAGUGAGAUCUUCGGAUUGGCGCCACUGCGGCUCAGCAAUGGGCUCGGUGGAUGCCGAAAAGUUGAUCAAACUUGAUCAUUUAGAGGAAGUAAAAGUCGUAACA